rnacentral:rRNA from 1 species
CAGCACCCCGAGUGGUCGGGACGUUUAUUGGGCCUAAAGCAUCCGUAGCCGGUUCUACAAGUCUUCCGUUAAAUCCACCUGCUUAACAGAUGGGCUGCGGAAGAUACUAUAGAGCUAGGAGGCGGGAGAGGCAAGCGGUACUCGAUGGGUAGGGGUAAAAUCCGUUGAUCCAUUGAAGACCACCAGUGGCGAAGGCGGCUUGCCAGAACGCGCUCGACGGUGAGGGAUGAAAGCUGGGGGAGCAAACCGGAUUAGAUACCCGAGUAGUCC